UACGAAGGGGGCUAGCGUUGUUCGGAAUCACUGGGCGUAAAGCGCACGUAGGCGGAUCUUUAAGUCAGGGGUGAAAUCCCGAGGCUCAACCUCGGAACUGCCUUUGAUACUGGGGAUCUCGAGUCCGGGAGAGGUGAGUGGAACUGCGAGUGUAGAGGUGAAAUUCGUAGAUAUUCGCAAGAACACCAGUGGCGAAGGCGGACUCACUGGCCCGGAACUGACGCUGAGGUGCGAAAGCGUGGGGAGC
rnacentral:rRNA from 1 species